UGGGUCGUAAACUGCUUUAUACGGGAAGAAACCCUCUACGUGUAGAGGAUUGACGGUACUGUAAGAAUAAGGAUCGGCUAACUCCGUGCCAG
rnacentral:rRNA from 1 species